AUGUCGACAAUAGAUCCAUCUGUCCAAGGAUCCUUUUGGCAUGUACUCAUACACCAAGAGCCUAUGUGAUUUCUCUGCACAAAAGCCAAUCAAUCUCACAAGAUUAAUAUGAUGAAUGCUGCCAAUUGUCUCAACCUCUGCAGAAAAUUCCCUUGUGCCCUGACCCGCUCGAUCCAAACGUUUUACUGCAAUCCUUUCAUCACCAAAUUGACCCUUGAAAACAGACCCAAAUCCUCCUUCCCCGAGCUUGUCUGCGAAUUGCUCGGUUGCUGCAUUUAG
rnacentral:rRNA from 1 species